CUGACCUACGGGGGGCAGCAGUGGGGGAUAUUGCACAAUGGGGGGAACCCUGAUGCAGCGACGCCGCGUGGGUGAAGAAGCGCCUCGGCGCGUAAAGCCCUGUCAGCAGGGAAGAAAAUGACGGUACCUGAAGAAGAAGCCCCGGCUAACUACGUGCCAGCAGCCGCGGUAAUACGUAGGGGGCAAGCGUUAUCCGGAAUUACUGGGUGUAAAGGGAGCGUAGGCGGGGAUGCAAGGUGGGGGUCAAAACUA
rnacentral:rRNA from 1 species